rnacentral:rRNA from 1 species
AGCGAACGCUGGCGGCAGGCUUAACACAUGCAAGCCGAGCGGGCAUCUUCGGAUGUCAGCGGCAGACGGGUGCGUAACACGUGGGAACGUACCCUUCGGUUCGGAACAACUCUGGGAAACUGGAGCUAAUACCGGAUACGCCCUUAUGGGGAAAGGUUUACUGCCGAAGGAUCGGCCCGCGUCUGAUUAGCUAGUUGGUGGGGUAACGGCCUACCAAGGCGGCGAUCAGUAGCUGGUCUGAGAGAAUGAUCAGCCACACUGGGACUGAGACACGGCCCAGACUCCUACGGGAGGCAGCAGUGGGGAAUAUUGGACAAUGGGCGCAAGCCUGAUCCAGCCAUGCCGCGUGAGUGAUGAAGGCCUUAGGGUUGUAAAGCUCUUUUGUCCGGGACGAUAAUGACGGUACCGGAAGAAUAAGCCCCGGCUAACUUCGUG